rnacentral:rRNA from 1 species
AAUAGAUACCCAGGUAGUCCACGCCCUAAACGAUGUCAACUGGUUGUUGGGGAUUCAUUUCUUCAGUAACGAAGCUAACGCGUGAAGUUGACCGCCUGGGGAGUACGGCCGCAAGGUUAAAACUCAAAGGAAUUGACGGGGACCCGCACAAGCGGUGGAUGAUGUGGUUUAAUUCGAUGCAACGCGAAAAACCUUACCCACCUUUGACAUGGCAGGAAUCCUUCAGAGACGAAGGAGUGCUCGCAAGAGAGCCUGCACACAGGUGCUGCAUGGCUGUCGUCAGCUCGUGUCGUGAGAUGUUGGGUUAAGUCCCGCAACGAGCGCAACCCUUGCCAUCAGUUGCUACGAAAGGGCACUCUGAUGGGACUGCCGGUGACAAACCGGGAGGAAGGUGGGGAUGACGUCAAGUCCUCAUGGCCCUUAGUAGGUGGGGGCUACACACGUCAUACAAUGGCCGGUACAAAGGGGCAGCGAAGCCGCGAGGUGAAGCCAAUCCCAUAAAGCCGGUCGUAGUCCGGAUUGCACGU